rnacentral:rRNA from 1 species
CCCUUAGAUGUCCGGGGCCGCACGCGCGCUACACUGAAGGAAUCAGCGUGGCUUUCUCCCUGACCCGAAAGGGUUGGGAAACCCGUUGAAUCUCCUUUGUGAUAGGGAUUGGGGCUUGAAAUUGUUCCCCAUGAACGAGGAAUUCCCAGUAAGCGCGAGUCAUAAGCUCGCGUUGAUUACGUCCCUGCCCUUUGUACACACCGCCCGUCGCUACUACCAAUUGAACGGUUUAGUGAGGGCCUCGGAUUGGUCUCGGCCCGCUCUUUACCGGGCGGCGCCGUUGGUCGAGAAGACGCUCGAACUUGAUCGUUUAGAGGAAGUAAAAGUCGUAACA